rnacentral:rRNA from 1 species
GUUUGAUGGCGACCGGCGCACGGGUGAGUAACACGUAUCCAACCUGCCGAUGACUCGGGGAUAGCCUUUCGAAGAAAGAUUAAUACCCGAUGGCAUAGUUCUUCCGCAUGGUAGAACUAUUAAAGAAUUUCGGUCAUCGAUGGGGAUGCGUUCCAUUAGGUUGUUGGCGGGGUAACGGCCCACCAAGCCUUCGAUGGAUAGGGGUUCUGAGAGGAAGGUCCCCCACAUUGGAACUGAGACACGGUCCAAACUCCUACGGGAGGCAGCAUG